UACGGGGGGGGCAAGCGUUGUUCGGAAUUACUGGGCGUAAAGGGCUCGUAGGUGGCCAACUAAGUCAGACGUGAAAUCCCUCGGCUUAACCGGGGAACUGCGUCUGAUACUGGAUGGCUUGAGUUUGGGAGAGGGACGCGGAAUUCCAGGUGUAGCGGUGAAAUGCGUAGAUAUCUGGAGGAACACCGGUGGCGAAGGCGGCGUCCUGGACCAUUACUGACGCUGAGGCGCGAAAGCGUGGGGAGCAAACAGG
rnacentral:rRNA from 1 species